AGUACAGCCUCUAAGCCUGUAAUGGAUUUUGAAUACUCUUUGGUAAGUAUACUUGUUUAAUUGUACAUUGAAAGGGAAAAUGACUCUCAAUGUGUAUUGCGAAAGAUAACACUGAGGAAAUUCCAUUAAAGCUAGGAAGCGCUCUCUGAGUACCUGGUGGGUUGAUAAUUAACUGUUGAUGUGUCUCUCUGCUAGCUCUGAUGUGGUGUUUAACUUAUAUCAUAUGAGAGGCAUUCAUUUGCAAAUCACCAUUUUGAGGGUUUCUUUUUUUUGUUCUCUCAAGCCACCAAAGAAAGGUCUGCUAAUGAUUCUCUCUAGGAGGAACAGUCUUGGGCUGGAAUGAAGGCUAAUGGAAUCUGUGUGGAGAGAGAGACCUUUGAUUUCAGGUCUGUUUAGAGUUAUGUCAUAUUUGUAAGAAGCUGAGCCUAUGCUUGGACAAGCAUAUGACAUUUUGCAACUGUCUUGAUAUAUCAUUUAUUGUUUUGUGUCUGUUGAAGAACGUUUUGUUAGUAAAGCUUUAAAACCACAUUUUGGGUCUGGACGAUUUUUAUUCCAAGAGGAGUUAGUUUUUAUUCAUCCCAUAUUGCUUCAAUCUAUGCAAUCUACAAUACUCUCCUGGGUCAAGCAGCCAUUUUCAUGAAAGUGCCAGUGUUUCAGUGCAUUGUGCUUGGUGGCUUCUUUCAUUUUCUGCACCAAAAGUUUAGACAUUUGUCUCAAUAGGAAGCUGCCUUACAUCGAGUCGGACCAUGUGGGGAAAGAGCUGUGGCUUAGUGGUAAGUCAAUUGCUUUGCAUGGAGAAGAUACCAGGUUCAAUUCCUGGCAUCUUCAGGUCGGGCUGGGUUAGAACCUUGAAAUUCUGAUGAGCCACCAUCUGUAAGACUAUAACAACAUAGAUAGACCUAUGGUCUGACUCUGUAUAAGUCUGCUUCCUAUGUGCAUUGGUUCAUCUAGCUCAGUGUUGUCUGUGCUGCUGCCUGGCAACAGAACUCCAAAGUUUUUCAGAUGGGCAUGUUUACUGGAUGCCAUACAAUGAAGCUCUAGGACCUUUCACCAAUUAUCUGCUCUACAAGGUUGAUUACAAGAGGAAAUAUACAAUGAGGUUUAUUGACAUCAGGUAGGUCCCUUCAUUGCGCUCUUUUCGGCGCCUGCAAGCCCAGCAUGUAGAAUGUUGACAUGUGUUUUAAUCUGGUUUUCAGCUCAUUGUUGAUCUCCCCC
rnacentral:lncRNA from 1 species